GGGGGUAUAGCCCAGUGGCAGACCACAUGCUUAGCAUGCAGGAGGUCCUGAGUUCAAUCCCCAGUACCUCCA
rfam:Camelus ferus unplaced genomic scaffold scaffold782, whole genome shotgun sequence.